rnacentral:rRNA from 1 species
UACGAGGGGGGCGAGCGUUGUUCGGAAUUAUUGGGCGUAAAGGGCGCGUAGGCGGACAGUUAAGUCGGGGGUGAAAGCCCGGGGCUCAACCUCGGAAUUGCCUUCGAUACUGGCUGUCUUGAGUACGGGAGAGGUGUGUGGAACUCCGAGUGUAGAGGUGAAAUUCGUAGAUAUUCGGAAGAACACCAGUGGCGAAGGCGACACACUGGCCCGUUACUGACGCCUGAGGCGCGAAAGCGGUGGGGAGCAAACAGG